AUUUUGUAGUAAAAAAUAAGGUAGAUAUUUUCAUCUUUAUUAAUUAGAAAAUGCUUCAUUUACCCUCUCUCUCUCUUAACCACUCCUUAUGUCUAUCUUAACAUCAGCAUGUCAAAUUCUGUUCCCGUUAAAAUAGUGAGAGGGCUAGUAAAAAUUUAUAUAAAUAAAUAGGGAUGUCAUCCUAAAGAGAAUCGGUAGGUGAGGUGGGGUGGUUAUGGGACUUAUAUGUGAGAUGUCUGCUCCCAUGUCAAGACAGUACAAUUCAUACAUUUUUUUCCUUUCCCUUUUUGUAGAAUAUGAGAAGUUUCUUGGUAGAAACAUCCAAGGACCCUGCACAUGAGUCAGAUCCACAUAGGAAUGGUAUAGUUCACCCUUAGCCAUUUUGUCUUGGAAGUGAAGGCUCAUAUUUGAGAAUUUGCAUGGGCAUUUUUCUCCAAAUGUUGAACAUUGUCCUGUUGAUGAUUAAUAUUUUUGUAUGAAGUUUGAUCCCCCAUUUUUUGACACUCAGAUACUGUUUAUUAAACCUAUACUUUUGCCUCUCCUCAGCAUUAUUUGCUCUUUCAGAUCUCCCUUGGGGAUAGGAUUGUCGAAUAAAAUACAGGGCUCUCUGAACUUCAGACACACAAUGAACAAUUGUUUUUUAGUGGAAAUAUAUCUUGUAGAAUUUGGAACAUACUUACAUUAAAAUUAUUUAUUGUGUAUCUAAAAUUCAGAUUUAACUGAGCCAAUUAAAAACACCUUGUGAUUUUAUUUGUUAAAUUUGGCAACCCUACUUAGGGAGAAAAGUUGUUUUGGACUGAAAUGUUGAAAUUCAUGUUUUAGGCCAUCUGUAGGUUAUAUGACAAUAUAAACUAUUUCAUGCUGAGAAAAAAGCAUGGGACCACAGCAGUGUAUCACCCUGGCAAGACCUGAACUGUUUUCCAAGCAUUUUUCUUGUAAAAACACGUGCCAAAGUAAUUUCCUAGAUUGGGAUAAUAAAUUUCAGAUCUUUUAAUACCAUGUACUGUAAUUAGCUGGAUAAUAAUCUGUAAUUAUUCAGGGAAAGUGAACCCAUGUAUAAAUUAUUAGAGUUAUAAACUAUGCUCUUUUAAUGGAGGAAGUUUUGGCCUUUUCUAAUCAACUGUGGCAUUCAGAGAGCCCUCUGAUGAGUAUUUAGCCCUCUCUGUCAGGCCGUCAGCUUCCUGUCCCUCCAUUCUUCUUGGCACCUCUCACGUUUUUUGGAAAGGCCUGGCAGGCAAUGCUGGAUCUGCCAAGUUAGUAGAUGGCACAGAGCCCAGAGCAGGUAUACAGAAAGCUGUGUGUGUUCUUUGAAGAAGGUCUGGUAGACACUUAUACAAUAUUUAGGGAUAUAGAUGCCCACAGACAGUGUGGCCUGGAUACUGAGAACCUGUCAGGUGGAAAAUAGAGGAAGUUGUAUAUGAAGGGUCAUUUGGCACCAAUCACCUCCCAAGGAUAUCUCCAGUGGGAUAUACCUUCUACACAUAGCACCUGCAUCCGUCCACAGAAAUUGUCAGAACUAUGAAGGUAGAAAAGUUUAUCAUUACAUCUCCCCUUGUUCUUUGUCCCUGAGUCUUCUUAUCCUAUCAUGACCCCUGUCUGCUUCAUUGCCAAUAGCUUGCUCACUUAUCAGUCUCCAGAGAAACUGCAUUUUAAAUUCUGGGCUACAUGUACAAGAUAUGCAGGUUUGUUGCAUAGGUAAAUGUGUGCCAUGGUGGUUUGCUGCACCUAUCAGCCCAUCACCUAGAUACUGAGCUCAGCAUGCAUUAUCUACUUUUCCUAAUGCUCCCUUUCUCCCAACCCCACCUUUCAACAGGCCCCGGUGUGUGUUGUUUUUCUCCCAGUGUCCAUGUGUUCUUAUUGUCCAGCUCUCACUUAUAAGUGAGGACAUGUGGUGUUUUGUUUUCAAAGAAACUGUAGAAGUCUGGAAAGAAUUUUUUGUGCCUUUAUCUAAGAAGCACAUCUCCAAUAGUGAAAUUUCAAAUACUGUGAAGACUGUUGGGAAGACAUUCUGGGAAGCGGGGAUUUUCUGGUGUUCCUUGAUUCAUGGCACAUGGAAAAACUGGUAUAAGGCAAGUCAUAUCUGGAUCUUGAUGUUGAAAAUCUAAAGAAAAUUUGGGGAGGGCUUAAUGUAGCGACAACUUUUCCCCACAUUUUGCUCCUGAGCUACCAUCAGGAGAAUUCUUGAUCCUCUGACUGAGGGGUCAGAAACCCAGGAAUCUGAAAAUCUUUCAGAUCUUCUCCGAGUCUAAUAGACUUUGCAUGUUCAUUGUUGAAGGAUCCCAAGAGUCUGCCUUAUGCAUUCAACAUGAGAGGAAAAACUCAUCACAACAAUUCUUAUAUUUACUGAGUGCCAAGUAUGUGUAAGGUAACUUGGCUAUUUAAAAAAAAAUAUUCAUCAUAUCCCUAAAACAAAUCAGUGGACUUGUUUAGAUAUUAGCGACUGAGGCUUCUUGAGAUAAAUGAUUUGCCCAAAUUAGUGACUGAUGGAGCCAGAAUUUGAAUCCAGAUGUGUCAACAUCUAUUAUGUGGACUCUCAUCACUACACUCUUCUGUUAACAGUAGCCCUGGGAGUGAUACCUGGUGAAGAACUGUAACAUAGGAGGAAACCGAUUAUAUUGUCGAAAUUCUCAUGUUUCAAAAGUUAAGAAUCUGAGGCCAGGGCUUCUAAAUGACUUGUAUAAUGUCCCUCAAGUGGAUAGGGGCAGAGUUGGAAUCAGAGGCCAUAUUUCAUAAUAGUACUUCUUCCACCAACCGUUCCUAACCCUGUGCUGUGUGUUUCAGUCACAGAUAGGUUUUGGUUCAGAUUGGCUAAUUGUCAGUCCUGAUAAAGAGCCCUUCCAUCAGCACAGCUGUCUGUGUAGCUUCUCAAGGGCUCAGGAAUCAGGGUUGCCUCAUUUUCUUUUUGCCUCUCCCAGGUCCAUACCAGGAACAAUUAGUAAUUUGGUACGUUUGUUGUUGUUGAUGAUGAUGAUGAUGAUGAUGAUGGUGAUGGUGAUGAUGCCACCUUUUGGAAGCUUUGGAUGAAAGAGACAUAAUUGCAUCCUUUAGGUAAUACAUACAUAAAAUAAAGCAUACACAGAAAAAAACCCUUAGUUCCUAAUACCUGAUGGAUCAUUUAAUUGGAUAGAAAUCAAAUCCAUUUUGAGGACCACAUUUUUGAUAUUUGUUUAUUUUUCCUACUUGUAGCCUGAUUUAUCUUAGGCCCUGGGUUUAUGAUGAUACAUACUGACUGGUGAUAUUUUUAACAAGUAUCAUGUUAACUACACCCCACAGCUUUUAGGAUGAGCAAAAAACCCUUUUUCUUUUAGGUCUUUAUCAGAUACUGCUGGUUACAACUGACAGUCCCAUUCAGCAUUUAAAAACUAAUAGAAAUAUUGAAAUAAGAUGCAUUUUUACUGAUUGAUGUCCAUGAAUAGUUACUGUCUUUCUGCUACAGUUUGUACAUUGAGUAGGACAUAGGGAUAUAUAAAAUGCAGUCCAUUCUGGCUAGAUAUUUAUAAUAUAAUUGGCAAACAUGUCUGAAAGUUUAUACAAUAAAAUGAGACCAUAUAAGUCAUAACUGAGUGGUCUAAUGAUAAGAUGAGAGGAGGUCAUCUUGAUCUGAUGUGAGCAGCAGAGACUUCCUGACAUAGACAGAAUAGUGGCUGGAGCUGAAGUUCCUUUAGGAUAUUAAAGUGAUAAUGAGUCAGCCAAUGUGCUUGCUGUACUUCGAGGGACAAGUGUGGGAUCCAAAAUGGCCUUGGUAAGUUGUGGCUGAGUGGUUAAGGCAACGAGCUAGAAAUUCAUUGGUGUCUCCCUGUGCAGCGUUGAAUCCUGCUAAAUAUGAGAUGUUUUCCUUUUCAAUGAGUUUAUUUGGCUCAUUGACAUAUCAGUUUGACAACCUAAAAUUACCCAGAAAGGAGCUCCGUAACAGUUUUCUACAACAAUGGUGCAGACUUCUUGACUAAGCUGGUCCUGCUCCAGCAGUCACUCAAAUCUCUACUGCCAAAAUGCCCUUGGUAAGUUGGAGAAAAGGUCUAGCACUGACGAAGCAAGUUCAAGAAGGCAGUACAGACAGAAACGUGUGGUUCAUUGAUCCUUUGAAGAAAUUUUUCUCAAGGACCUACUCUGAGUAUAGGACACAGCGGUGAGUAGAAGCAGAUAUAACCUGAUUGAGAUGUUGGGUGGAGGACAUGCCUUUUGGGUUCUGUGCUUGUCUGAGUCUAUUUAGAUUUCAGAUAAUGAACUUUCCUUUCCGAGAGACAGAAAAAUGUGGUUGGUGUUUUUGGAUGCGGAAAGGGCAAAGGAUCAGAGUGAGUGGAGCAUCUGACAAUAAAUCACAGUGUGGCACUGCAUUCUUAUUAUUGCUGUUGUCUAAUACUGGCUUUGCAUAAAAGGUGUCUCACAGGUUAAGGUAAUGUGGUUACCUUCAGAAUAUGAAGGUAAAUAAUUUUUGUCAUUCUGAGUCCAGGAAUUUUGUUUUUCUGUGGACUAAGACCAUAGAAAAGAAAAUGAAAGCUCCAGGGUCUGCUUUUUCCUAUCCUUGUCUUAGGCCACUUUUCCUCCACUUUUAGCCUCCUCCUCAUCCAUGCCUUCUCUAAGAAAUAAAUGGAAAAAGAGACACCUGUAGGGUGCCCUCCAUUAAAAGGCCUGUACCCAUUCAGAUUCUCCACACUUUGUGUUCUGCUGCCAUUUCAAGCUGUCACUGUUCUUUCCUGCAUCUGCGCAGCACAGAAUCCUCAGUAUUAGUGCCUUCCUGACUUCUAGCCAGAGAGCUGGUCUAUUGUAAUAGUAACUGCCAUAUUUAUGCAUAAGGGUUGAAGCUGGAACCCAUUGUCUAUGCAGACAGGGGAACUCACAGAAAAAUUGCUGUGGGAAGUGAUUGUUUGCAAUUUGGUUAAAAAAAAAGCUUUGCUGACUUGUGUGCACUGUAAGAUAAUUUAGCUCUGAAGUACAAGCAAUAAGAACUGAGUCCGUUCUGAGGACCCUCAUAAGUGAAAACCACAGCCACAGUGGCUGAGCUGACUGAGUUCAGAAAAUGCCACGGGGAGCAGUUUUUAACCUCUGAGAAGCUGUUACAUAAGCCUUGUGAAUGUGCUGUUUUCAUUUUUCCUCUAUAGGUGCACACAGCCCAUCCAUCCCUUCUCCUGUGCAGCUUAGGGUUGAAAGGGAUUCUGCCACUCAGCCCACUCCUCUCCUGCUUUUAUGGCUAGUGCAUUUCAGGUGUUGGGACAUGUAUUUGAUCAAACUCAUAAUAAAGGAUGUAAGUCGCUAGGAGGCUAAAACAAGAAUCUCUCUCUAGAGAGAUUUCUAAGUAUUUCUACUUCUAAGUAUUUUUUUCCUUUGAUAAAUACAGUAUUUGUUAUGGAUUAUACUUAAGUCUUUUAAUAAGAUAUUUUGAUCUUUAAAGAGUAUCUGUCACCUUUCUCAGAGUUUAUGCCCUGUAGAUGGAGAAUUAAGGGACAUAAGUUCUAAUGUCAGCUUUGUCAUUAAUGACGUUUGUGAUCUUGGGCAAGCCUCUUGGUGAUGGGAUGGGAGUCGCUUUCCUCAUCUGUGUGCAUCCUUGGCUGCCAGGACCCCCGACUAACCUGUGUUAGGCUCAGCCAAGGACCACUCAAACCUUGAGCCUGAGCACAGGUUGGCCUGGGGUCCUGGCUGUCAAGCCUGUCUUCCUUUGGGUCUACUUUCAUGAAGUGACAUUCAUGAGAACCUUUCCCUCCACUUUUCAGGCAAGAGAGAAAGGACAUUUCUGUAAAGGCACAAGGUAAGGGACAUAAGAAAAUCUUAAGAUAGUAAAAUGGUAGAUAACUUGGAUCAAUUUUGAACCCUUAUAGCAAGAGAAUUAGAAUAAGAUCAAUUUUGAGCCCCAGUAGCAAGAGAAGUUAGAGUCAGAAGCUGAAGAAAUAGUUUCUGUGACAAUCUGAGUGAGUCUGUGAGCAAGGGACAAUAUGCUUUAGGGCUCAGUUGGCACAGAAUGGCGCAGAAGUGGAAAGAGGGCUCUUGGCUUUCAUCAGUUACAUGAAGCAGCUCAGAAGUGAAAAGGAUUCAAAUUGAAGCCUUUUUCUAGGUUUAGUGGGGUCGAGCAGUCUUUAAAGAAGGUGCCAAGAAAGGAAAUUCUGAGAGGUUGAUUUUGAGUUCCGUGUUUUGGGUACUGAGAAGUCAAAACGACAACUCUAUCACCCCUGGCUAGUUUCCGUGGCCGCCAGGUAUCAAGCCUUGGCGCACCAUCAGAGAAAUACAUUUUUAUAGUGAAGAAAAUGGUCAGGAAAUUUGAUGAGCCUCCUGUACGUCAGAAAGCACAGGGUUUCUUGGAGUUCUCUUUUGUUGUCUUAAAAAAGGAAACCUUUAAACUUUGGCUGAAACAUGCUCCCCUGGGAAGCGUGCUUUGGAACGACAUACAGUAGGGAUGCUGUGAGACAGUUUACGUGGCUUUUUGCUGGAAUCUGUCCGUGUGCUCUGGCAGACAAUGCUGGUAAUGUUGUGAUGGAGAGCGUGGGUACACUUAGCAGUUAUUCAGAAACUUGGUAAACUGUAGACUGCAAGUUCAGAGUCUUAGUCCUGACACAAUUAUAGGGGAAUGAUCUGUGGCUACCUGUGUGUGCUGUUCUUACAGAAAGCCACAGAACCAUAACUUUUCCUUAGUACCUACUUAGAGGACAUUUCAGUGGACCUAGUGAGUGGGGAUGGAUGGUGAGGGGUGGGAGGCCAAGGAGAUGGGACUCGUGCUUCAGGCAGAGCCGUUCUGCUUUGCACAUUGGGUCACUACCUAUGACUUUGUUUAAACAAAGCAUGCCUUGCCUAAAUCACAGCCACUGUGAUAGAGGCUAUGAUUAGAAGGAGGUAGGUAGUUCACAAGAGCCUCUAAAACUCAUUUCUAGGAAAGAUUUCAUGCAGGCUCAGGCUGCAGUGACAACAGGAAUAGCCUUCUGUUCCCUAGGCUUCAUCGGCAUAACGUGGAAAAAAACAAAAAGAAGAACUCCAAACCAUUUGGAACUGUCACUAAGCCCUUGCCAGGGGCCAGGAGACAGUACAAUUGACUGACUUCACAUUUCAGAGUCUAUUGUCCAGGUAGACUGCAAAUGCCGCCAAGCUUGGAGGGGGCAUCAUCCAACCCUAAAGUGUGAGUGUUUGUGAAACAAGGGCCAGAGCCUUUCUGAAGCAGAAAAUCCACCAUUUCAUUGUUGGCAGAGGAUGACCAUUUCCUGGAAGACUGCAAGUUCAGAGGGCCUGUAAUCAGCGGUUAAGAAACAAAUUCUGCUUGGAGCAGAGGAACUAUACAUCCCCCUCCUCCUUUCUAUUCUGCCUUAUCCUAAUUCUCCAAAAGAAAGGUUCAAGUAAGAGAGAAUAUUUCCUAGUUGCAUCUUACAUUUAAGGACUAAACCUCUUGAAAAAGAGGCAUCAAAGGUAACUCCUUUCUCAAAGUUGCUGAAGUCCGGAGCCUUGGAAGCCUCCUGGCCCUUCCCCUCUCACAUUCAUCCAUCAGCUACGUUUAUUGAGUCUUUCCUCAAUAUGAAUUUAGAAUUCCACUAUCCUCACUACUUCUCUAAUACUCUGAUCAGUCUCCUUUUCUCGAAUUUAAAUUCCUGCAGUGGUUUCCUCACGGGUAUUCCCACUUCCACAGUCUCUUCUCAGUAGAGAAGCCAGAGUAAUUUUAUUACAGUGGAAGAAAUUCAGUUGUCAUGCUUUCCCGAUUAAAACUGGCGACACCCCAUUUCACUCUCAGCAGAAGCCAAUAUCUCUAUAACGGCUUGUGGGACCCCUCUACGUGAUCUGGUCAUUAUUCCUCUACACUUGUCUCCUACUCUCUACAUUUCUCACUGGGCUCCAGCCAUACUGGCUUUCUCAAUGUUCUGUGAACAUUCUGGAUCACUCCUGUCUUAGGAUCUUUGCAUUAUCUGCUCCUUCUGCUUGAAAUGCUCUUCCCACAGGUUGUACUCUGGACACUAGAAUGUUAACUUUUUCAUCUUUAAGCUUCCCUUUGCAGUGAGGUCUUUACUAUUUGAUUCAAAAUUGUACCUACCCCCUGCUUACAUGCUUGCCACUGCUUUUACUUGGUUCUACCUUUUCACCCCAAAGCCCUGGUCACUUUCUAGCAUUCUAUACAGAUAAUUUGUUUAUUAUAUUUAUUUUGUGUGUUUCCCUAGCAGAAUAAAAACUCUGUUAGAGCAGAGAUCUUGUCUGUUUUCUUCACUACUAUGUUCAAAGUGUCUAAAUCACGCCUUACACAUAUUAGGUGCUCAGUAAAUGUUUAGUAAAUGAGUCAAUGAGAAAAGGACAUGGCCUGUAUACUGAAUCUCUUCUACUUUAACUGUGUAUGAUUCUGCGAUAAAAAUAAGCUUUCCUUAACAACCUUUGCUUUCUUAUCAGAAAAAAAAACCUACUAGAUUAGGAAAGUUAGAUAACUUGUUGUAUUUCUUCCCAUUCAAUAAGGCUCUUGCAGUAAGUAUUCAGUACUUAUUAUAUGCUUAUAGAAUACUGUUAAUGCCCCCAGUGUUGUAUUUUAAUAAUAAUCCUUGGCCAGUGCAGUGGCUCACGCCUGUACUCAGGGCUUUGGGAGGCUGAGGUGGUUGGAUCAUGAGGUCAGGAGUUCAAGACCAGCCUGUUCAAGAUGGUGAAAGCCCAUCUCUACUAAAAAUAUGAAAAACAAACAAACCAACCAAAGCUGGGUGUGAUAGUGGGCACCUGUAAUCCCACCUAUUUUGGAAGCUGAGACAGAGAAUUGCUUGAACGGGGAGGCGGAGGUUACAGUGAGCUGAGAUCACGCUACUACACUCCAGACUGGUAACAGAGUGAGACUCUGUCUUUAAAAAUCGUCAAAGACAAGGGUAAAACAAAAAUGACGAGUAAUUGCAUCAUCAUAAGGAGAAGAGCUGUUUUUAGUAUGUGGGGUAUAUGUAAGGUAGCUCCAAGCAGUUGCAGCUAACAUGAAUGUUCUGGUUGGUGUUGGCUAAUAUUUCUAAUUGUAAAUGAAUAAACUGGAUAAAAUGCGUUCCAGCAUUCAACUCAUAUGUCCUUAAGUGAAUGAGGGUUUCUCAGGCCUGAAUGGGACCUGGAACAUAGUCACCCAAUGUGGUCAGGAGCUUUUGAGGUUGUGCUCAUCUCCUGCUGAUAACCCCUGGUAUUGGUAUAUCUUCUGUUUCCUUUUUUUUUGAGAUGGAGUUUCGCUCUUGUUACCCAGGCUGGAGUGCAAUGGCGCAAUCUCGGCUCACUGCAACCUCUGCCUCCUGGGUUCAGGCAAUUCUCCUGCCUCAGCCUCCUGAAUACCUGGGACUACAGGCACGCGCCACCAUGCCCAGCUAAUUUUUUGUAUUUUUCAUAGAGAUGGGGUUUCACCAUGUUGACCAGGAUGGUCUCAAUCUCUUGAUCUUGUGAUCCACCCGCCUUGGCCUCCCAAAGAGCUGGGAUUACAGGUGUGAGCCACCGCGCCUGGCUCUUCUGUUUCCUAAUGUACUGGUUUGAAUAAGACAUAGUGUCUGGAAGAGAAGGAUGAGUUGUAUCUCUGUUAACUGGAACUGUUGUUAAGAAAGUUCUUUUUUUCAUUUGUACUUUUUUUAUGGAGCACAUGUGACGUUUUGUGACAUGUAUAGAAUGUAUAAUAAUCAGGUCAGGGUAUUUGGGGUAUCCAUUACCUCGAGAAUCGUUUCUAUGUGUUGGGAACAUUUUCAGUCCUGUCUUCUAGCUAUUUUGAAAUAUACAAUAUAUUGCUGUUUACCAUAAUUACCCUACUCUACUAUUGAACAUUAGUAUAUCUUCCUUCUAUCUAACUAUGUUUGUAUCCAUUGACCGAUCUCUCUUGGUAAGAAAGUUCUAAUUGCAUAAAAUAGGAUUUUAAAAUAACCACAUGGUUGUGACGUUUUGACUGGGCGCAGUGGGUCACACCUGUAAUCCCAGUACUUCGGGAGGCCAAGGUGGGCAAAUCACUUGAAGUCAGAAGUUAAAGACCAGCCUGGCCAACGUGGUAAAACCCCAUCUCUACCAAAAAUACAAAAAUUAGCCAUGUGUGGUGGCAUGUGCAGGUAAUCGCAGCUACUCGGGAGACUGAAGUGGGAGAAUGGCUUGAAUCCAGGAGGCAGAGGUUGCAGUGAACCAAGAUCAUGCCACUGCAUUCCAGCCUGGGUGAUGGAGAGAGGCUCCAUUUCAAAGAAACAAAACAAAACAAAAAGCAAACCACGUGGUUGUGAAGUUUCUAUCUGAACCCCCAUUUUAUAGUUCCUACCACCUUCCCACAUCCCUACCUUACUGCUCUCCAGAGCAUGUUUCACCAUCCCCUAUCUACCUACAGAACAUCUUCAGAAAAUUGCAAUAGAAGUAAGCAAGGAGAGGGGAAUAUAUGGACUGUUCUUUGUGUUAAUAUUUGGAAAGGUGAAUAAAAUGAGCUUCAUAAUAACUGAGCUGUGCCUUGAAAGUAUACCUAAUAAAUGUGCAGCUAACCCCUUUGUUGGCAAUCAGAGAGCAGAGGCAGUGCCCGCAUGUCAGACAUCAAAUGCAGAAGACAGGCAUUGGACUCAUUCUGGGCAUAGUGCAAGGUGAGGGCCCGUGGUUUAUUUCUGUUGCCUCUCAGUUUUUAGACAGGAGAGGGAAGACCGAUAUCCCCGUGGCACAGGUUAACUGUCCUACCAGGGCCUGGAAAGUUCCUUUUCUCUGCUCAACACACUCUGUGCUCAUAGAUUGAAUCCUGGGAAAUUGAUUCCAUCUCUUCCCCAGCGACUUGAUGAUAACAGUCUUUUCAUCUGAGCAUUGGGUGAGUGAUCGCAAUGACCCAGUUUGUUGUAAUAUCAUCGCAUUACUGUAUUGUGUGUUUUUAUACUGCCUCAGGAUAUGGUAAUGACUUUAUUUGAACACAAGGGCUAUUUUCUGAAAUCUCUGCUGUGUGAUUUGAGAAUAUUACCAUGCUGUGUGUGGACUUGCCUCAAAUACUGCAGUUAAAAAAAAAAAAAAAACCAAAAAGCUUCCACUAAAAUGUAAUAACUCCAAAGUGGAAUGAUACUUUCUGAACCCGCUUCCUUUUCACUUCUGAUCUUGGUGCCUUUUACUUAUUAAUGUGUACCUGUAAGAAUUGCUCAGAGGCACUGAAAAUGUAAAAUGUAUGGAAAGCCAACUUGUACUGAAUGCAAUCUCCUUUGGCGGAUAUGGGUCAAAUGAAUCCUCUUAACCUCAUUUGGUCAGAUUGAAAAGUCCCUCCUGUCUCCUAGUCUAUAUCUUAGUGGUUUGAAUGGCUUAUGUGGCUAAAAUACACUGACUGAGAUUAUCUUGACACAAUUUCCCGAGUCCUCAGUAUAUUGGCAAAGACGGUAACGAUUUAAAACCCGGCAACUGCUGCAUGAUUAGCAAUUCUUAUUCUGGACCUCUUCUUCUAAGGUAUCCUUUCUCUUUGUGGCCAGGCGCAGACUAGCAAUUGGGCAUCUGGCUUCUUAGUUGGAGGAUUUGGGUUUUAGGUUUAAAUUGUUUAUUGGUAACCUCUGGGUUGGUUUUAACAGAGCAAUUACGCUCCCCCAGGAUCUCAGUCAAUGGUAGUAGUUACACAUCUUUCUUUCUUCCUUCCCCCUGUAUCUCCCUGGCACUCUAUGUAGUCGGAGUAAAAGCAUAUUAUAAGGACCUUUGGGAGAAACAAAAAGCGAGGAAGUUUUUUUACUGCAUCAGGCAAAUAGCACACCAAAAUAUGCAAAAGGUUUCAAAUAAGAUUUGGGGUUCAGGUUCUGAAGCCAUGGAACAGGUGCAAUUUAUGUGAACAGAACAUUUGUGGCUUCAGUCCAGUGGCAUAUUCUGUCCUGGGGGCAUGAGGAUUACUUCUGGACUUCUGAUUAUUUUAGGUAUUUCAAUUCCUCAUUUCUCUUGCCUUAUAUUUCCUGGUUCCUGAAGUUGAAGAUUCUUUUGGAUGGUCUGAUUCUUUGGGUCCUGCUAGGUAAAACGUGGGAACUUGUGAUGUCAGGUGAGAUUUUCCCAGAGGGAAGUGUAACUUUUCAGAGCAACUUGCUGUGGAUAGACCAUGUGUCACAGGAGUAGAGCCUGUGUCUAGGUGCAUUUCAGUGAGGGAAGAGAAAGAGGUUGCAUUGGGGUGUUGGGAGUAUGGUGGGCAGGUAUAUUGGAAUUUGGGGAAGAAAGGUGGGAUUUAUAUUCUUAUAUAGUGAAAGUUAAAAGUGGAAAUUAUCAUCUCGGGUGACUGUUCCUGCUCUAAAUAGUCCCAUUGGUAUUUGGGCUGAUGGAGACCAGAGCAGACUUCCAAACCUGUACCCCAAGGCUGUGUUACUCCUUUGCUCAUUCACUUGUUCGCGCAUGUGUUGAUCCAUUCCAUCCAUUCAAUUAAUCCAUUUAUUCCAGGCUUUCACCUUGGCACUUCUGAAACAGAGAAAAAUGCCACAGUUUCCCCCCGGCCCCACCCUUGUAUUUAGUAGAAGAGGCAGAGGGCACAGAUGCGUUGGUGAUCACAGCGUGGUGUGGUGUUGUAUUCAAGGAAAGCACGGUGCCGCAUGAGGACACAGAAGGGUGGCGUCCCACACAGCCGUGGAAGUGAGGCCUUCACUGAGUCUUGGUGGAUGAGGAAAGGUAGCCUGGGAAAGAAGGAAGAGAAGGGCCUUCUGGGCCGUGGGGCUGUGACCUAUGGCCAGGUCAAAGAUGCUUUUUCAAAACCCUUUUUUUUUUCUCCAUCUUCUGACAGGAGGAGGCCUGGUGUUGCCUGGGGUAGUGUUCACUGAACUCAUCUCACAACUUGGAGUCUUUUUUUUUUUGCUCUGGGUGAUGAUUUAAUUCCCUGGAAAAUACAUGCGGCCGACUGCUCAGUUGAUUUCAGGGAAGACUAGAUGUGUGUUCUGUAUGGAUAGCGGCUUCUCUAGGGAUUCUGCUUUUCUCUUGAAAGAACUCAUAACAAUGUUUAUAAUGAAAUCAUUGUGGUUACAAAGAAUCCCUACUAGCUGAUAAAAGCUUGAAUAGUCUUUGGGAUUUCCUUCUAGGAUUUGUAUUCAACCCAGAGAACUGAGGUCAGAAGAUGACAGUUUACAAUGGUUGUCGAAAGGGAAUUGUUAAACAGAUGUUCUAGCAAAAUGGAGUCAUACUCGACAGCCUGGUGCUGUUCUUUGAAGCGAAGGCCCAGCUCUGAUCCUUGCAGACUGCAAGACUGCACCAAAGAGAUUCCCAGCCUCCAGUGUCCUACCGUUUCUCUCUCUCCCAAAGCAGACCCUUCUUCCUUCUGCUCAGCCCCAGCUGGCUUUCUCCACAUGCCAGAGAGGGUUAGACGUGUUCCUACACCGCAAACAACAGAUGCUCUUUCUGAACGCUGGAAAAACUGCCAAAGGUCCUGAGCUUGAAGCCUAAUGAGUACUGCCUUCCUUCAGAACUUGGGGUAUGAAAUCUUAGAGAAAAUGUUGCCAUCCAUAUCCUGUCUGAGGAGACAAGGGAUAAAGAAGCUAGCUCCAACACAGUGAAUACAUCUCUUCAACUGGGACCUCUGAUUCCUUUCUGCAUACCUUUAGAAGAAGCCUGAUGGGGGCCGGGCGCGGUGGCUCAAGCCUGUAAUCCCAGCACUUUGGGAGGUCGAGGCGGGUGGAUCACGAGGUCAAGAGAUCGAGACUAUCCUGGCCAACAUGGUGAAACCCAGUCUCUACUAAAAAUACAAAAAAUUAGCUGGGCAUGGUGGCACGUGUCUGUAAUCCCAGCUACUCAGGAGGCUGAGGCAGGAGAAUUGCCUGAACCCAGGAGGCGGAGGUUGUGGUGAGCCAAGAUUGCGCCAUUGCACUCCAGCCUGGGUAACAAGAGUGAAACUCCGUCUCAAAAAAAAAAACAAAAAACAAACAAACAAAAAAGAAGCCUGAUGACCUGUUGGAAAGGUUUUAUAAACAGGAAAGCCUUACCCUAAUAUUAUUAUUUCAUUUAUAAUUCAGUUCUAUUUAGAGUAUGGUUAUUAACUGUUUUUAUGUGCCUGGCAUAUUCUGGCUAUUUUGAAGAGUUAAAAAAAAUUACAGGACUUGAUUUUUUCUCUCAAAGAUGCCAUAAUUUACUGGAGAUAUCAGGGAUUCAUGAAAGAAAUUAAGCUAGAAAAUUAAUGUGCUUAAUUAAAUGUAGAAAAUUUAAAAACGUGUUUUGGGAAAUGCUCAUCGUCACUGGUCAUCAGAGAGAUGCAAAUUAAAACCACAUUGAGAUACCAUCUCACGCCAGUUAGAAUGGCGAUCAUUAAAAAAUCUGGAGACAACAGAUGCUGGAGAGGAUGUGGAGAAAAAGGAACACUUUUACACUGUUGGUGGGAGUGUAAAUUAGUCCAACCAUUGUGGAAGACGGUGUGGCGAUUCCUCAAGGCCUUAGAAAUAGAAAUCCCAUUUGACCAGCAAUCCCAUUACUGGUAUAUAGCCAAAGGACUAUAAAUCGUUCUACUACAAGGACACAUGCACAUGAAUGUUCAUUGCAGCACUGUUUACAAUAGCAAAGACCUGGAACCAACCCAAAUGCCCAUUGAUGAUAGACUGGAUUGGGAAAAUGUGGCACAUAUACACCAUGGAAUAUUAUGCAGCAAUCAGAAAUGAUGAGUUCGUGUCGUUUGUAGGGACAUGGAUGAAUCUGGAGAACAUCAUUCUCAGCAAACUGACACAAGAACAGAAAAUGAAACACCGCAUAUUCUCACUCAUAGGUGGGUGAUGAAAAAUGAGAACACAUGGACACAGAAAGGGGAGUACUAAACACUGGGGUCUA